GCGAAAUUAGUAUAAUGGUAGUACGCGUCCUUCCCAAGGAUGAGGCGCCGGUUCGAUUCCGGUAUUUCGCUCAA
rnacentral:tRNA from 1 species